GAGUUUGAUCAUGGCUCAGGACGAACGCUGGCGGCGUGCCUAAUACAUGCAAGUCGAGCGAGCAGAACUAACAGAUCUACUUCGGUAGUGACGUUUCGGAAGCGAGCGGCGGAUGGGUGAGUAACACGUGGGUAACCUGCCCUUAAGUCUGGGAUACCACUUGGAAACAGGUGCUAAUACCGGAUAACAACAAGUGCUGCAUGGCACUUGCUUGAAAGGCGGCGUAAGCUGUCGCUAAAGGAUGGACCCGCGGUGCAUUAGCUAGUUGGUAAGGUAACGGCUUACCAAGGCAACGAUGCAUAGCCGAGUUGAGAGACUGAUCGGCCACAUUGGGACUGAGACACGGCCCAAACUCCUACGGGAGGCAGCAGUAGGGAAUCUUCCACAAUGGGCGAAAGCCUGAUGGAGCAACGCCGCGUGAGUGAAGAAGGUUUUCGGAUCGUAAAGCUCUGUUGUUGGUGAAGAAGGAUAGAGGUAGUAACUGGCCUUUAUUUGACGGUAAUCAACCAGAAAGUCACGGCUAACUACGUGCCAGCAGCCGCGGUAAUACGUAGGUGGCAAGCGUUGUCCGGAUUUAUUGGGCGUAAAGCGAGCGCAGGCGGAGAAAUAAGUCUGAUGUGAAAGCCCUCGGCUUAACCGGGGAAUUGCAUCGGAAACUGUUUUUCUUGAGUGCAGAAGAGGAGAGUGGAACUCCAUGUGUAGCGGUGGAAUGCGUAGAUAUAUGGAAGAACACCAGUGGCGAAGGCGGCUCUCUGGUCUGCAACUGACGCUGAGGCUCGAAAGCAUGGGUAGCGAACAGGAUUAGAUACCCUGGUAGUCCAUGCCGUAAACGAUGAGUGCUAAGUAUUGGGAGGUUUCCGCCUCUCAGUGCUGCAGCUAACGCAUUAAGCACUCCGCCUGGGGAGUACGACCGCAAGGGUUGAAACUCAAAGGAAUUGACGGGGGCCCGCACAAGCGGUGGA
rnacentral:rRNA from 1 species